rnacentral:lncRNA from 1 species
AACCCAUCGUAUAAAAAGGCCAUACCUUCUGGAGGGACGUCGAUGGUAUUAGGAUAGAAGCACCAGGGGACCCCACGAACGGUGUCGUCGAAACAGCAGCCCUUAUUUGCACACUGGGAGGGCGUGACACCAGGAAAACCACAAUUCUGUCUUUCACGGGGGGCCACUGUACACGUCUCUGAAAGUGCACAGGGACUGCCUCGAGAUGUCUUUGGAGAAAGUGUUCCUGGCUUGCUGGGAAGGAUCCGUGUUCAGCUCCCGCUGCCCAGCAGCUUCCAUGGGAACCUUGCCCUCCUGGGGUCUGGAUCCAUCGCGACGUGAAGGUGAUCAUCGCCCACCCCCGGGACACUGUGGGGGUCAAGAGAGGCCCCGUGGUGAGGGAGGAUCAUCAUCCUGGGGGUCGGGGGGGUUUCCUCCUCAGGGAGGAAGAUUUCCAGCCCCGGUGCUCUGCCUCCGGCAGACUCUGUCUUGCCCACCCGCUUUGUCUUUGUCGCAUGAUGGAAAUAAAUGGAAAUGGUUUCCACACACGAAUGC